UUUAGUGCUCAUUUGAGCAAUUGUCUUUCUUACUGGGAAAGUAGUUUACAUUUAAACAUGUUGAUAACAGAGCAUAAUAAUAAAAAUGCUCAAAUAAUAAUACAUUUAUUAGUACAUGUUAAGACUAAGAAAAGUCACACAGCAGCCAAAUGUCUUGGAGAUGGGAGAGAAAAAGAUACACAUAGCUCCAUGAUCACCAAAUAUAGAACACACUAUCCAAUAAUGAAUUCUACUAUACAUGAUGCAGAAUUAAAUUAUACCAUAUCCAGUAGUUUUAGACUACCUGAACUGGACAUCCACCAACCCGUUUGCUGCAUAAAUAUCAAAUAUAGCUAA